UGAGGAAUUUUGGACAAUGGGCGAAAGCCUGAUCCAGCGAUGCCGCGUGAGUGGUAAGGUCUUCGGAUUGUAAAGCUCUUUCGGUAGGGAAGAUAAUGACUGUACCUACAGAAGAAGUCCCGGCUAACUUCGUGCCAGCAGCCGCGGUAAUACGAAGGGGGCGAGCGUUACUCGGAAUAACUGGGCGUAAAGAGUGCGUAGGCUGUCAUGCAAGUUGAGGGUGAAAUCCUCGGGCUCAACCCGAGAACUGCUCUCAAAACUGCUUGACUUGAGUGUCAGAGAGGAUAGCGGAAUUCCUGGUGUAGAGGUGAAAUUCAUAGAUAUCAGGAGGAACACCGGAGGCGAAGGCGGCUAUCUGGCUGAUUACUGACGCUGUUGCACGAAAGCGUGGGGAGCAAACAGG
rnacentral:rRNA from 1 species